rnacentral:sRNA from 1 species
GAAAUGGCUGCGAAGCAGACCCCGGGCAGGAGUCGCUCGGGCGCAGGGAGGAAGUGAACCGGCCGGAGGUAGCGCCCGGCUGCUGGCCCCACAGUCCCGACACCUUCGGAACUCCUAACUCCUGUACUUGUCCGGCUGAAAGGUCACCAAGGAGGCCUUUGACAGAUCCUUUGAGGUGAACCUGCGUGCGGUCAUCCAGGUGUCACAGGUGAGCUGCCCUGUGGGCUGGACGGGAAUUCUCGUGAGUGAUGCCAGCUCUGCCUCACGGUCUCGCUGCAAUUCCAGAUUGUGGCCAGGGGCUUAAUAGCCCGGGGAGUCCCAGGGGCCAUCGUGAAUGUCUCCAGCCAGGGCUCCCAGCGGG